rnacentral:rRNA from 1 species
CCAGCAGCCGCGGUAAUACGAGGGUGCAAGCGUUAUCCGGAUUUAUUGGGUUUAAAGGGUCCGUAGGCGGAUUUGUAAGUCAGUGGUGAAAUCUCACAGCUUAACUGUGAAACUGCCAUUGAUACUGCAAGUCUUGAGUGUUGUUGAAGUAGCUGGAAUAAGUAGUGUAGCGGUGAAAUGCAUAGAUAUUACUUAGAACACCAAUUGCGAAGGCAGGUUACUAAGCAACAACUGACGCUGAUGGACGAAAGCGUGGGGAGCGAACAGGAUUAGAUACCCUGGUAGUCCACGCCGUAAACGAUGCUAACUCGUUUUUGGGCUUUUGGGUUCAGAGACUAAGCGAAAGUGAUAAGUUAGCCACCUGGGGAGUACGAACGCAAGUUUGAAACUCAAAGGAAUUGACGGGGGCCCGCACAAGCGGUGGAUUAUGUGGUUUAAUUCGAUGAUACGCGAGGAACCUUACCAAGGCUUAAAUGGGAAAUGACAGGUUUAGAAAUAGACUUUUCUUCGGACAUUUUUCAAGGUGCUGCAUGGUUGUCGUCAGCUCGUGCCGUGAGGUGUUAGGUUAAGUCCUGCAACGAGCGCAACCCCUGUCACUAGUUGCCAUCAUUAAGUUGGGGACUCUAGUGAGACUGCCUACGCAAGUAGAGAGGAAGGUGGGGAUGACGUCAAAUCAUCACGGCCCUUACGCCUUGGGCCACACACGUAAUACAAUGGCCGGUACAGAGGGCAGCUACACAGCGAUGUGAUGCAAAUCUCGAAAGCCGGUCUCAGUUCGGAUUGGAGUCUGCAACUCGACUCUAUGAAGCUGGAAUCGCUAGUAAUCGCGCAUCAGCCAUGGCGCGGUGAAUACGUUCCCGGGCCUUGUACACACCGCCCGUCAAGCCAUGGAAGUCUGGGGUACCUGAAGUCGGUGACCGUAACAGGAGCUGCCUAGGGUAAAACAGGUAACUAGGGCUAAGUCGUAACAAG